AGGGAUGUAGCGCAGCUUGGUAGCGCCUUUUUUUGGGUCAAAUCACGGGUUCCAAUCCUGUCAUCCCUA
rnacentral:tRNA from 3 species